UACGAAGGGGCUAGCGUUGUUCGGAUUUACUGGGCGUAAAGCGCACGUAGGCGGAUCUUUAAGUCAGGGUGAAAUCCUGGAGCUCAACUCCAGAACUGCCUUUGAUACUGAAGAUCUUGAGUUCGGGAGAGGUGAGUGGAACUGCGAGUGUAGAGGUGAAAUUCGUAGAUAUUCGCAAGAACACCAGUGGCGAAGGCGACUUACUGGACACAUAUUGACGCUGAGGUGCGAAAGCG
rnacentral:rRNA from 1 species